rnacentral:tRNA from 1 species
GCCGGUGUAGCUCAGCUGGUUAGAGCAGGGGAAUCAUAAUCCCAAGGUCGUUGGUUCAAAUCCGACCUCCGGCA